UCUGAAUUCCAUUUUGCCCUUGAAGCAAAUUCUCUCUCUAGUCUCUAUAUUCUUCUCCUCCACAGAGACAGAUCUCUUCUCGAGAGUGUCAAUGGCAAAGAACGACGCGUCCUUGGGAUUAGUGGGCGAGUUCUUGAAGCGGUGCCAGCAAUCCGGCGAGCCUUCGACGAGACGUCUCCAGAGAUCGGAGCCAAACGCGAACAUGAGGCUUUACCAUGACGUCCUUACCAACGGGUACUACACGACGCGGCUGUGGAUUGGGACACCGCCUCAGAUGUUCGCUCUGAUUAUGGAUACGGGAAGUGGAGAAUAAAGGUCACCUGAUUGGGACACCGCCACCUCAAAUUCGCAGCCGCUGCCAAUAUGGGCUUCAGCCUAUUUGAUGUGUACGCAAACAAGGCCUUAGACAUGAUUCGGGUUUGUGAUUGGUGGUUUUUGCUGGUAUUUUUCCUUCUUUGGCUGCUUUGAUGUUCAAUUGCAUUAAGAAAGACGACAUUGACUGGUCUCCUUCCGAAGAGGGUGAGUGGAGGUGAGUAAUUUGUCCCAGCUCAAGAUAUAUCAUCAAGAAUUCAGUUUAAAUUUGAUUCAGUAUCGAAAUAAUUGUUUUCUUGAGUUUGAUUUGUGAAUGCCACUGGUGUUGUUAAUGUUAGGACUCAGUACGCUCAGUAGAUGAUCUAACCUUAACUCAGGCCAUCAAUUAAUGAUAUGAACAUUUAGAUGAUUCUAUACUUCAGCAAUUCAAUAUCAGUGUAAACUGAACAUGAAUUUGAAUCUGGUUAUUGAUAAUGAUGAUGAUGAUGAUGAUGGUUUAACAUGAAUUCAAUUAAUGAUGAUUAAUUGUUGAUACUCAUUUGCUUUUAUUAUGUGUGGCAUGGGAUCGUUGUACAUUGGUUUUAAGUGUAAUCAGAAGCUUAGGCAAGUCUUGUAAAUUGGAACGUCUUGACAUUGUUGUUGUUUCUUGUUUGUGUAUUUGUUCAAGAUUAAGUUUGGUCUCACUAAUGUUGUGGCAUUUCUUCUUUUACACAAGUAUUCCCUUUCUUUAAUGUCUUCUCUUCAUUUUCUCUUGUUCUUUCGUACGAGGGAAAAGUUAAAGAUAAAUACCUUGGAGAGAAAGGAUCAUGGCACAGGAUUCAUACAUGUCAAGCUAUAUGUCGAAUUAGAGGUAGCAAGAAAGAAGGGUAAAUGUAUUGUUUUCUUGCUUUCCCGUUACGAGCUGAACUAUUGAACAAGAAGCUAAGUAGCAGUACAAAACAAAAUGAUUGAGAUAUGACUCCCAAGCCGAUGAGUAGAACACGUACAAGUCUGUGCAGCCAACGUUGUUUCCAUGUUUUAAAUGAUAAUUUCAAAACGGUUGAGAGCCUCUAGUCUUUCCAUUGCUCUCUGCAUGUCUGUCUGGGGCUCUGGUUAAUCUCCCAUUCUUUGUUUAUUUGUUUCAUAAAAGCAGAAACUUGUAUGUUGUAGUUACAGGGCACACUGGAUUUUAAGUUUGGAACUUCUUCAGGAGCUGUAUCUUAGCCUUGAGAACUUUCUAGUUAGAAACUUGUAUGUGAUAACAAUACUAUUGGGAUGGAGUGGGUUAUGGAAUGCUGUAUUGGGUUUGAUUUAUAAUACUCAUAGUGAGAUUACUGUAAAUCAUCAAUACAAUGAAUGAAGUUAUUAAUUUUAUUUUCA